rnacentral:lncRNA from 1 species
UGCACAGGUUUGCACAAGAGUGCUUGAGAGCUCAGGCUGGGCCGGUGAUGUCCAGUGGCUGUCAGCCCAAUGCCAUUAUGUAGACCGUUGCUGCUAUCCUACAAGAAUGCAAAGAAAAUUUCUUUUCCCCUGUUGUCCUCGAAGCCAACACAAGAAGAAAAAGGCAGCAACUUGGCGGCUUUAAAAAUCAAGGAAAUCUUAGCGAAAUUUUCAAGCUCCAUCUUGCAUAGCGGAGACUACUGAUGCUUAUUAGAAGACCAUGUGGGAAAGUGAUUUUGUUUGGAAGAUGCAAAUAGAAAAGAAUAAUUAAAAGGUAACAGAAGAUUGGUCUAUUUAGUGCUGAAACAGACACC